rnacentral:rRNA from 1 species
CCUACGGGAGGCAGCUGUGGGGAAUAUUGCUCAAUGGGGGAAACCCUGAUGCAGCGACGCCGCGUGAGUGAAGAAGUCAUUCGUUAUGUAAAGCUCUAUCUGUAGGGAAGAAAAUUACGGUACCUGAGUAAGAAGCUCCGGCUAACUACGUGCCAGCAGCAGCGGUAAUACGUAGGGGGCAAGCGUUAUCCGGAUUUACUGGGUGUAAAGGGAGCGUAGACGGUAGUGCAAGUCUGGAGUGAAAGGCGGGGGCUCAACCCCCGGACUGCUCUGGAAACUGUACGGCUGGAGUGCAGGAGAGGUAAGUGGAAGUCCUGGUGUAGCGGUGAAAUGCGUAGAUAUUAGGAGGAACACCAGUGGCGAAGGCAGCUUACUGGACUGUAACUGACGUUGAGGCUCGAAAGCGUGGGGAGCAAACAGGAUUAGAUACCCUUGUAGUC